rnacentral:lncRNA from 1 species
UUAGCCAUAAAAAGAGAUUGUAUACUUUAUCUUAUAAAAGGGAUCACUUUCUUUGCUUUACAAACAAUAAAAAGUGCUGCCUUUUCUUUUAAGAAUCACUUCAUCGGGGAGUAAAGUGCUGUGUAUAUAAAUGUCCAGAUAACAGGAACCAAGUAGGAAUUGUUAUAAUUGCAGAUUAUGGUUAUUUGAUCUUAAUAUGCAAGGUUUAUGCAAAGCUUGAAGUGUAACUUGACAUAAGGUGAGUGAUUUGGACUGUUUUGUGCUCUAAAAUCAGAGAGGAACCACUGCUAAUAUUUGACGUGGCGUAGUAUGAUGCAUGGUAUUUAAGGUGGUCUGGUAAUUGAUGAGUAACGUGUCGAGCAUAAGGUCAUGUACGGUUUGAACAAGCAAUUCAUCAUUACGUAUUGCAAGCUAAAGAAAUCAAAAUUUAAAAGUUAUAUCUUUCAUUCAGGUAACCCUGCUUGGUGCAAUCUCAAUAUAGUCCGUUGAUAGAAGUGUAAAUUUGUAGUAGAUGGCAUAGUUAUUGUGCAUAAGUUUUAUGGUUCGCUUUCUCAAUGCUCUGGCAAACAAAUAGAAGAAGCUUAUCCUGUCACUGGUUUUUAUCAUUUAACAAAAGCUGGUUAUUUUCUGAUACGGUCCUACCGUAUCAAUAGGGAUAAACGAUCACUUCGAGGGGAUCGAGCCUCCAGAGAAUUAAGAAAUUGAGAGGUAGGGACAAGAUAUGAGGGAAAAGAGAUAAUUUUACUUGAUAGUUUCUUGUAACGCCCCGGUUACAUUAUAUAGAGUUCAACUACUCCUAACCAUUUCCUAACAAGAUAAUUGACUAUCCCUAAUUNCAGAGGCGAGCCAAGCGAGGACCGCGGCAAGGGCAUAGCGCCCUAAGUGAGCCUAGUUAGUAGCUUUUCCUUUAUGCAUUAGAGUACCCUCGUGUACUAGAGAAUGUUUUGGAUAGUUAUGAGAGGGCUACUUAUAUUUUGAAGAAAUAUGUACUUACAUUUUGGAAGAUGAAAAUGUAAUAUAUCAAAGAUGUAAAAAUAGAAUGUAAAGUAAUAGCUAGAUGUAUCUCUCUUUAUGCACUUGUAUGUACACUUGUGUUACUUGCUCUUGUUGUAUUGCACUCUUUGUGCUUCUCUCCUUGUUGGAUCGCGUAUGUAUUGAAUUAUUCCUGGGCAAUUCUAUGUACAUGAUCUUACCUUUGAGCCUUGGGCGGACAGGGGAGGUGCUGUCCGUCCGGCGUCUGUUCGACGCGCUCGAACCGGACCAAAUUGGUAGCGGUCUCGGGGCGUGACAAUAAUAUUGUCAUUUUGUUGUAGUUAGUUAUUGUUCGAUAACUUAAUUAUUUUUUUCUCACCAUUACUACCGAAAUAUACAUCAGGGGUUUCUAAAAAGUAAAUAUCUUUGUUAGUGGGUGAUUUGAUGGUCAAGUAACUAUGUAAUUCUAAAAUCCUUGAAAAAUAUUCUAUAAAAAUUUGGAGGUUAGCUAUGAAAAAUUUCUUUAUAGACACCCCUAUUCUAUUAUCUUAUGUUAUGUUAGGUUAAAGUUUAGGUUAGGAAUAUUUCCCAAGUAGAAAAAUAGGAUAGAAAAAUAAUUAUGGAGAGUUGUUUGAGAUUCAUGUGAAUUGAAUUGCAUGGGAAUGUAUUUUGUAGUUAAAGGAUGGAUUGUUAACAGACUAUUACUGUGUUGAGUGUCUUUUGUUUUCUAUGAAGGAAGUAAAAAAAAAAAAAGGCAGGAAAUCAGACCAUAUUGUCUUGUCAUUUCGAUAAGCAUUUAAUUUUAGAAGUUUUUUAUUAAGAAUUUUUAUAAAAAUUAUGGCCCGCCUUUGAAGAAACUAUGCUCUUUCCAGGUAGCAAUGUAUUAAAGAAUAUAUAUUUAUAUAUUUAUAACAAACCUUGGUUUCACCUUUGUUUGUAGUUAAUUUAUUUUCAAUCCAAACGUUCACGCCUGCCGUAUUCAUUGGAAAGCUCCCAACUAACAAAUGAAAACUUUUCUAGGGAAAUUUGAAAUUCGCAUUUAAUGCAAUUCGAAAGUUCACACCUCUAAAUUUUUUUGUCAAGGGAACAUGACUUCGUUGGAGAGUGUUGUCAAAUCAUACUCACACUGAUAUUCAUAUAGUUUGUAAUUUGAUUGUUCACACUUUCCUUCCUCAUUGGGGAGUUCCAAGUAGAGUUUUGUAUAGUUUGAAGAAAACUUCAUUGGAGAGCUUUAUGAUGAGGAUGGCAGGUUUGAAUCAUCAGAUUACACUCAACUUUGAAAUUCGUCUAGAUCAAAAUUUUCAUGCUGGCCUUCCUUGUUAAGGAGCUUUCCACUAAAAUUUUGUUCAGUUAGAAUGAAACUUCAGUAGGGAAGUCUGCAACAAGAAGGGUAGGUAUGAACCGUAAUAUUACACCCUUUUGAAAUUCACACUGAUUUGCAAUCCGACAGGUCACAAUUGAUGCCUAUACAUAUAUGGGAAGCUCGGCAGUAAACUUUGUUCAAGGAACAAAACUUUAUUGGGGAACUCCCCAAUGAGGAGUGCGAGUGUGAAAAGUCAGAUCACUCUCAACUUGAUUUCCAAAAUAGCAUAUAUUGCAUUUUACUGCUCACACCUACCCUCAUUGGGGAGCACUCCGGUAAAGUUUUAUUAGGUUAGAACUUCAUUGGAGAACUCCUAAUGAGCAGGGCAGGUGUGAACUGUCAGCUGUCUAGACUCAUCCUACAUUCACACUCGCAUUUCUUAUUGGGGAGCACCCCUGUAAAGCUUUGUUAGUCAGAAGAAACCUUUAGUGGGAGCUCCACAAUAUAGAGGGCGAGUGUGAAUUGUCAGAUACACUCAACUUGUUUUGAAAUUUAUGUUGUUGCAAUUCGAUGGUUCACACUUGCCCUUCAUAUUGGGGGGCUAGCUAGUAUAGUUUUGUUUAGUUAAAAGAGAACAUUGUGGAGCUCCCCAAUAUGGAGGCGGAUAUGAAUUGUCAGAUUACACUCAACUUGCCUUAAAGUUCGCAUAAAUUGUAUUAGGACAUUCACAUCUAGCCUCCUCCCUAGAGAGCUCUUGAGUAAAGUUUUGUUCAAUGGAAACGAAACUGCAAUGGUGAGCUCCCAAGUGAGGAGGGUGGGUGUUAGUUGUCAGCUCAUACUCAACUCGCUUCCUAGGUUUGCAGGAUUUCAAUCCAGCAGCUCACACUUGCCCCUCUCACUGGGGAGCUCCCCAGUAAAUUUUGUUUAGUUAGAACAAACCUUCACUAGGAGCUCCCUAAAGAGCAGGGUGUGAGUUAUUAGAUGACACUCAACUUGCUUUGAGAUUUGCAUAGAUGACAAUCCGAUCGGUCCCUACUGUCCUCAUUGGGGAGCUCUCAUUAUCAUAACUUGUAAUGGGCCCAGAUUCAAGAAUUUAUAGACCUUUAGUUAGCUUCUCCUUCAUGUAUUAUGUAUAGGCAAUGUUGGAUCAUAUUAUCUAAUAUAUAUAAGUGCAUGUAUAUAUUAUCUAUUAUGUGUAUGUAUUUUAUGUACAUUGUGGAAAGGAUUUAUGUGAAUUAUACUCAAUGAAGAGUUCAAUGUUGAAUUUUAUUAUCUAAGAAAAUACCAAUUUUUCUAAGAUCAGUCCAAUUGCUUCUCCAAAAAUAGAACUUUUAUGUGUUUACAUGAAAACAAUUCUGCACUGUUAUCAAUUAUCAUGUUUUAACUGAUUACUCUUUAAUUUUAUCAUUUGAUUUUUGUUAUCUAUGAUAAAAUUUUUUAUAAUAAAAUAUGUCUACAGAAAUUAUAUCAUAACCGCAACCAAUAUUCCAUCUAUUAGCUAAGAAGAUAUAGAGUAUCCAAUCCGUGUGAAUUUUACUAACCUUUUAGCCUUAAUCUUUUGUUUCCAAAUGUGGAUUUUAUUAUAUUAGUUUAGGAUAUUGGUUACUAUAAUUUCACAAGUAUACGUUGAUAAGAGUUGCUUGUUAACACUGUUAUCUUUCAUUAUCAUUCUUUUGUGCAGGCCCAGUCCUUUGCAGAUAAUUCAUGUCAUAGGCAAUUUCAUGAGGAUAUGGUCUGUUUACUCCUUGUACCACUAUCUAUCUGAUACGGUCCUACCGUAUCAAUAGGGAUAAACGAUCACUUCGAGGGGAUCGAACCUCCGAAAGAAUUGAGAAGUAGGGAAGUAGAGAGGAGGUAGAAAGAGAAGACAAGAUAUGAGGAAAAAGCGACAAUAUUACUUUCUUAUUUCUUGUAACUCCGGGUUACAUUAUAUAGAGUCCAAAUCCUUAAACUACUCCUAAUCAUACCUAAUAAAUCUAUUCCCAAACAAGAUAACUGCCUAUUCCUAAAUAACAAGAUAUUUAAAUUUGAACUUGUUUAUUAAAAGGAAACUAUUAAAAAGGAAAGUUGGGGUCGCAUCAUCUCCUCCGCCCUCGAAAGCCACCUUGUCCUCAAGGUGGAAAAUCCUCAAGCUUGUCUAAUCCUUUUAUAUCAUCUUCUCUAUUUUCAUCAGGUUCGGCCUCGAUAAAAAAUAGUUGCUUUAAUUUGCAUCGAUGUCCGGGUCUAUAUUUUUCAUCACAAUUGUAGCAAAGGCCUUGAUCUCUUCUUACUUUCGCUUCAGCCGGUGUGAGGCGCUUUAUGGGUGGAAGCGUCUCAUUAGACAUUGGUGUUGUUGAGGCAGACAAAAGAGAAGGCUUAGAAUUUAUAAUACGAUGUUGAGCUAUCAACUUUUCCUCUUGUAGACGAGCAAGACCGAUGGCUGCUGACAUAGAAGUUGGUUGGAAGGCUCGGACAUCAUGCUUUAGGUCCUCCCUCAGCCCACUAACGAAGCAACGUAUGAAAAAUGCCUCAGUUAGUCCUGAAGUGCGAUUGGCUAGCAUUUCGAAUCGAGCCUGAUAAUCACGAACACUUUGCGCCGAACCCUGUUGUAGUUUUGCUAAUUAUCCCAUAUAGUCCUCGUACAUAGUUGGACCAAAACGAGUACAAAGAGCUUCUACGAAUUCCACCCAAGCCACGACUCCACGGUUCUUCUCGAACCAUUGAAGCCAUUGUAACGCUUCAUUCUCCAUAUGAUAGGAUGCUAGCGGAACCUUCUGGAUGUCUGGUAUUUGAUUAAAUUUAAAAAAUUGUUUCGCUCGGUACACCCAUCGAGCUGGAUCCUCGCCAUCAAACCGGGGAAACUCCAGUCGCGUGACACGAGGUAUCACCAUCAUAGAGUUCUCCAUAGAAGGAAUGUCACGACCCGGGAUCCCUUUGGGUUUGAAAGUACAGCGGAAGUAACUAGAAUUUUUUUUUUUUUUGAAAACCUGACCCCAGGGUAUGCCAAAUCCGCCACAAAUACAGGAAAUCCACUGUUCACACGGACAGAGUCUCCCCUGUAUUUGCACGGCGUCGCGCAAGUACAAGAUGUCCAAACAGAGUAUAACUAGGAUACAACCACAAUACAUGAAUAGACAAUUCUCAACAUUCAUUCACCAUUCACCAGAUAUUUACCAUUCAGUGUUUAAACAUAGAAACCACAAGAAAAACUCUUUUGAACGUUGUUUCCCACACGGAAACCUUUUCUUUUUAAAACGCUACCACGAGGGGUAGAAAAUCAUUUUUCCUUUUCACAAAAUUCACAAGUUCAAUAGUUCAUUCAAAACCACAUGAAUUCGAAUAACAUAAACCAACUGAACCAUGAAAUAUCAAAGCUAUUAAUAACAAAAGUAAACAGGGUAGGAACUAAACCAACAAGCCGGGUUGGAAGCUCUAGCGACCACUACGAACGUGUCUCACGUCUCGUCUCUACUCUCACCGCCUGCGAUACCUGAAAAAUGGUAGGGGAGGUGAGAACAUGUAAACAUGUCUCCCCUCCCAGUGGGUACCGCAAGCCGACGAAGGCGAGGAGUACUCACCGGAUCAGGAAGAGAUAAACAACAAUAUGGUAAACAAAUAUAGAUGCUGAUACGAAGAAACUACAGUAGCUAUAACAGAUAAAUGAGCAAUAAACAAAACUGCUAUUGUAAGGAAUGCAAAGCUGAGUAUGCCUCAAGGUAACCAAACCAAAACUGUACCCAAUCUAGUGCCUGCUAUAUUGGUCAGCAGACCUCAAGCGCUGCCUGUCACUGAUCUGCACCGACCUGAUUCACCCGCCCCACAGGACGACCCAUCCGGAUAAGCACACCUCCGGUCGGUGGCCAAAUCAACCCGGUGUCGUGAAUACCCCCAAGUGCUGUGACUAAGUCAUGCUGGUAUGCUCAAUACAAAAAUCGGCUGAAGCCGGUGCCUAGGCCGAAGCCAGAAACAAGGGCGUACAAUGCCGAACCUCGAUCAACCAGAUCGAAACACAUGACGAGAGAGUCGAUGUGUUGUCUCGACCCAAAGUCCACAGAGUCCAACUAACCAAAAAGGUCACUGAUACGAAGUACGAGAACCGACCAACCAGGUCAACAGAUACGGAAUGCAAUAACCGACCGACCAGGUCAACAGAUACGAAAUGCAACAACCGACCAACCAGGUCAACAGAUACACAUAUAGAUAGAACUACUCUACUCCUACUCAGGAUACUAAGCAUGCAAACAACGAGCAGAGUAUAAUGGAAUAACAUGGGUGCAAGGCUCAAUAUAUACUAUGCAAUAGUAACAACAGAAGAGUAAGGGUAAGAAACCAUUACCGAGCGUGCACCACUGUACCGACUUCGGAUCGAAGUACCCACCUAUACUAGUGUCGCACCUGUCUCCCAACUGUACACGAUCAUCAACCGGACCUACGAAGGUCCACCAGGUCAGUAACCAACCCACUAACCCAAAGUACGAGACUCGCAAACCCCCACACAAGUCCCCGAAUCGGUUUCCCAAAACCGAUCACCGUAACUCACCGGAAGUCUUAAAAACCACACCGGGAUGCCGUCGGGACCCACUAAGUGUCCCGAAACUCACCGACUCGUGUUACGAGUCACCCGCUGCCACAAAACACUCCGAUUUGGAUGUCUUGGAAGCAAACAAAAGAUAACAUAACCAAAUAAUUGUCAUCGGAUAAUUGUUCGGAUCCGGGUUCCCAGAAGUGUCUAUUUUGACACCGGAAUCCACCGUCGCUCACCCGUCAUCGUUGAACCCACAAAAUGAUGAUGGUGACCAGCCAACAAGGCUCAUCGACAAAUCAUAGGACAACCAAACCACGUCGGAAGGAAUCCGAAUCGAAUCCGCGUUCUUUCGGCGAAUUUCGCCGAAAAACGCACCGAAAUCGACUCAUCGAUUUCCGCGAAGGCUAUCGGAUCAUGGACAAUCAGUCCAGAGGUCACCAAACACAUACACACUGCCCACAGUAGCCACAAGGUGCACAAAUGCAUAAAAGCCCCUCAAUUUACAUAAAAUCCUAUCAUUUUAUGUAAAUCGGGCGAUUAAGUGGCUCGUUCACGCAAACCGAGAACUUCUAAGUUCCGCCGAGACACGUACUGCUUGGUCUUGACGUACCGGAGGCCGUGCUCAUGAUUCAGAGCACAACAGCUCACUGUGCGAAGCGCGGGAGCAACCCGAAGGUUCAACGAAUAGCGCGUAGAUGGGAAAAAACGCGCCGAACAGAACUAACCGGACUUCGUUGAUCCAAAGUGAGGUGAGCACUGUGAUCAGAACUGACCAACGAUCACCGUGCUCACCUCCGGAGGCAUCGGAACUGUAAGGUACCGGACUUCUAAAAUUAUGAAGUUAUGGUGUACGUUGCUUUGGAAAGCCAAUUGGAUGGUUUCGUGAGGUUCGGUGAAGUUCUGGAGCAAUCGGGCGUUUCGAUGCGCAUAGGCGCGAAAACGGAACCCGAAAGGCUAACUUGGGCCGUGAGCUAAAUCCGGCAUUAGCGAGGAUGGAAAGAUGAUGAAAACAUGUUUGAAAACAUGUUUGGAGAGUCUCGGUUCGAUUUGAGACGAAUCGGAGGUCAAACGAACGAAAACGGGCGAAAACGGAGCGAAAACGGACGAAGCUGAAAAUUGGCUAAGUCUGGGCUGAAGGUCUCUCUGGGACCGGUCCCAGGUAGAGAGACCGGUCUCUCAGAGACCGGUCCCUCAUGUAGNCAGGACCAUGCAAGCUCUGAUACCAAAUGAUACGGUCCUACCGUAUCAAUAGGGAUAAACGAUCACUUCGAGGGGAUCGAGCCUCCAGAGAAUUAAGAAAUUGAGAGGUAGGGACAAGAUAUGAGGGAAAAGAGAUAAUUUUACUUGAUAGUUUCUUGUAACGCCCCGGUUACAUUAUAUAGAGUUCAACUACUCCUAACCAUUUCCUAACAAGAUAAUUGACUAUCCCUAAUUAUAUUCCUAAAUAACAGAUAUUUAAAUUUGAACUUGUUUAAUAAAAGGAAACUAUUAAAAAGGAAAGUUGGGUCACAUCAUUUUCAAAAUUCUGAUGUCUUUCAAAAUUAUUAUUCUCCACUGUUCAGUUCCUCAAACAGCAUGAUGGUAUGAAGACAACAACGUUGAAGUUGACUUGGUGUACAAAAAUUCUGUCCACUAAAUCAACCAGCUCUUUUAAAAGUCUACGACUAUCUAUACACGCUUCGAGUUCUUUUAGGUACUGCACCAUUCUGAAGAACAUAGAGUACAGUAUAUGAGAUUCCUUUCUUCCUUCCAUUUGAAUUGGGACCUUGUUAGGUUUUAAUUAGUGAUACAGGUCCUUGUUCUGAUAGAAUGUUGCUACUUUUAUUUCCUUGUAAUCCCUUUAGUAUGUUUGUUCAAUGAUUAAGUUUCUCAACAUUUGGAGAGCUUUUUUUUUUUUUUUGCGAGACUUGAACUUUCUCGUUCUGAGAUGCACAG